rnacentral:rRNA from 1 species
UACGUAGGUGACCAGCGUUGUCCGGAUUUACUGGGCGUAAAGAGCGCGCAGGCGGUCGUUCAAGUCGAGUGUGAAAGCCCCCGGCUCAACUGGGGAGGGUCAUUCGAUACUGAUCGACUGGAAGGCAGGAGAGGGAAGCGGAAUUCCCGGUGUAGUGGUGAAAUGCGUAGAUAUCGGGAGGAACACCAGUGGCGAAGGCGGCCACCUAGCCCGCACCUGACGCUGAGGCGCGACAGCGUGGGGAGCGAACUGG